CUGGGUUGGAUUUGCUAAGCAGUUUUCCAUUUAUGACUGAUGAGAAAACUGUGGGCCUGAUGUUUGAACACGGACCUUACUAGGGUGAUUCAUGCCUUUGCUGGCUUCCCAAACACUUCCAGACAGAGACAAGCACAAUGUUUUCAUGAGAGAGAAAAGUGCAAUGCUGUUUGUUGAAUGGAAUUUUCUUCCUGGGUGCCCUGUUUGGGAAGUGGGUUUUCUCAAACACAGGGUCCCUGUGGCUAUCCUUAGCUAGCAUUUGAGUUCCAGCUAGGGUGGAAAACACUGCGUCAUAACAACCUAAAUAUCAGGCAUCUGCUGUCUCCGUGCCCCAAGCCAUGUCACUUGCAAUCAUUUGAAGAGUGCAGUAUCAACUCAGCUAGAGAGCUGCAAACAUACUUGGUGAAAGGGUUCUCUGCCCUGGAAUGUACUUUCCCACUUGAGCUCUAAUAGCCUGGAUUUCAUGACCUCCAGGUCACCCCGUAGGGUCCAUCUGCUUUCCCAGGCUCUGAAGGGGGAGGAGAAAUUUGGGAAAGUAUAAGGCUACUACUAUAAGAAAUGUUUAGUUGUACGAUGGCAGGAAGAGGUUUUGCCUUGAGAUGUUGAUUCGGCGGGUACAAACUGUACCAAUAUUCUGUAAAUCUACCCAGAAAGCAGAAUGGGAAACUCUUACUAAGCUAAAGAAACAAACAUUUCUUCACUUUGUCUGUGGGACAUAAGAUAGAGCAUUUUUAUAACCUGUGCAAGCCUCAGGAAUACUACCACUCGCUAAGCAAAGGAGGUGUACUCUUCUUCGCUGGCAGAGUUGCCCCCAGCCCAUCCAUGCUCCUGCCUCCCAUUCUCCGUCCCCUCCUUCAGCACAGACCUCAGGUGCAUGCAGAGGCCUCCAGGAGCCAGCAGUGCCAGCCCUUUCCCACUCCAGAGUCAGCGUCCCUUUGCACUGUCAGAAAGACAUAAACCAAACCAAGGGAACCGAAGCGCACAGAUCAAGGACCUUCACGAAGAAGGAAGAGGUACACUUUGUGCUAGAGAGAGCUUGAAUAAAAGAAGUGCCACAAAGACAGAAAUAAAAUUUAAAAAGCAGCACGGGUUUGCUUUUAUAUAUUUCAGAUAUUCAAACUGGCACACACCAAAAAAAGUGAGUUUUGCUUUCAUGGACUUUGGGGGACUUUUGUCUAAGCAAAGACUAACACUUUUUUCUGGUUUUAAACAAAGAAGAGGACGUUUCUCUUCCUCCUGA
rnacentral:lncRNA from 1 species